UCCUGGGUAGCUCAGCGGUAGAGCAGCCGCCUGUCCAGCGGAUGGUCGUGGGUUCGAAUCCCUCCCCAGGAG
rnacentral:tRNA from 1 species